ACUUUUCUGCGCUGACAGAAAAGAACGAUUAUCUCCGAACAGACAGUUUACAAAUUAACUUAGAUCUUAUUGGUCAGCUAAAGUCACAUGCUUAAUUAUCUCUAUUUUGAUUGGUUCCUUUAUUUAUAAGUUUUUGUGUACAAUUCUCCGAAAUGCACCGAAUAUUACCGAUUUCGGUCUAUCUCGACUGUGAGUCGAGCUUUAUUAUUGUUUUGAUUUGAUUCACACAAACACACGCUGCUAGAGUAGGCAUUACUUAUGUUCAGCUAAUUUUAGUUUCCUAGCGUCACAUUGUUCUUUUUACAAAUUAUAUAUAGUAUUUUUGAUAAAAUAGCCUGGAAAAGGAAAUAUUUUCAUUCCUUUGAAGAAAAAAAAAAAAACAAUUACUGCAGGAUAUAUCUGUAUCGUGAUCUGGCACACCAAUUUUUCUGUUGGUCCCCUUCUGUGAUGUUUUUUGCUAGCUGCUGCUUGGUAGUCGCCAACACUUGGUGAUAAUCCUAUCCCUGAUCACAAUAUGGAAAUCUUCCUAUUAACAAGGGAAAUUCUAUGCAUUUUAAAAGGAUUGUGUGAUUGGAAGAAAAUAAUGAUUUUGCUUGGAAAAAAUAGUUUGUUUACACAAAGAAAUUUUUAUGUUUUGCAGUUAUGUGUUAAGCAAAACUAUUGGUAGAUUUUGUAGGAGCCUUGGGCAAAACGUCUUGCAGGACUUUUUUAAAUUUUGAAGGACCCUUAGUGAUCAUUAGGUUUUCGCUUAAAUUAUUGAAAUAAAUUACAUGAUUUAUUUCGAAGUUUUUUUUUAUUUCAUUCUUAGGAUCGAACAACAUUAACAUUUAUUUAGAUUUUAUUUUAUUGUCAAAUUCAUACUGUCACUUGAGUUUUAUUGAUAAUUUAUUAAGCGCAGGAACCAUAAGGAGGAAAUAUAAAACUUUGUGUUUAAGAGUCCUACUUAAUCAACAAAAAAUGAUUAAAUGCAUUUUAUUUUUCAUAUUUUUUUGAUUUUUAUGAAUAGUUUUCUUGUACUGGGUCUUUAGAAAUAAUUUUGAUCAUUUUUAUUUCCGAAGUAAUUUUGAAAAACUUAUCUAAAUUUUUACAAUUAACCAAAAAAAUUUAUGUGGGACCUCUCUACAGUUCUGUAAUGUGGGCCUUGGGCAGAUGCUCUGUUUGCCACAUUCUUAGAACAGCUUUUAAAUCUGCUGUUAAUUAAAGAUAAAUUUAUAUAUUCAUAUAAUAAUUUUUUUAAAUGUAUUCUCGAUUAUAAAAAUACCAGUUUAUUGCUUAAAUGCCAUUGCAACUCUAAUUCAGAGUAACACCAAUCUUUAAAAUUGGAUUUAACAAAGUUUUUUUAGUUUAUUUUAUUUUAAAUUUGCUGGAAUAUUAACAGACUAUGGUGAUAUAAUCGAAAGUCAUGAGAAUCUCGCUCAUCGAACUUUUUUGUUUUUAUUAACUUUCAAGUGAGAUAAUAUUAUUUUCAGUACUUGCACUAAUUAAUUUUUCUGAUGAAUUCACUCAUUUAGAUAUAAUGAUGAUAUGUUUGAUGAUUAUUUUCUAAUUUGUAUUAAGAGUAAAUAUGCUUUUGUAAUUCAGGAUUUACAAGCUUGUCAACUGUGAAGAAUAAAAACACCCAUUACAAAAUAAGUUUAUUAAAUAGUUUCUUUUCUUUUGAAAUUUCAUAUGUCACAUAAUAGUUUCAAUUACUCUAAACCAGGGAUGCUCAACCUAUGGUAAAAGUGGCCCUCAAAGCCUUUCAACUUGGGGCCCCUGAGCUGUCUGAAAUAUUAAAAACAUGAAAGGAGAGAAGAAAAAAAAAUUUUCAGCCAUGCUUUGUAACAGUUUAGUUUGCAUUCGCCUCUACCAGAACCAUUUGCUACUGCUUGUUCCUAUAUGGUUUUUUAUUCUCUUUGUAUGCCUGCUUUGUCCUUUCUCAUUGGCCAAAUUUUUUUGAAUCACCCUAUGUAAUUUGAAGUUUACUUACUGUUGUGUGGUUUCUAGCUAUCCAAGUGCAUCCUGUAUCACCAAAAGUUAGCUAAUCUGAAAUAUAUUAUUGGAAGCUUGUUGUGCUACUUACUACAACUGUUAUUCACUGAAAAAAAAAAAGUUAAGCUUUAAUACUCCUUAAAUUUACUCUGUAUGUUACAUGAACUAUUUUGAUUUUUUUUUCCAAAUCUUUUAGUUGUGUCUUUUUGGCAAGUUUGAUUUGCAAUGCCUCAAGAUUUUACAUGUUUUCACAGGCUUACAAAAAUUAUCAGCAGACGUAUUUUCAUUCUAUGUAUCACUAUUUUAUAAAGUAUUACAAUUUUUUCUUUGCAUAUGCUGCUGGUUUAACUAUAUUUUUUUUUAAAUCAAAAUAAAAAAUUCC